rnacentral:rRNA from 1 species
GGUUAAGUGACUAAGCGUACACGGUGGAUGCCUUGGCAGUUGGAGGCGAUGAAGGACGUACUAACUUGCGAUAAGCCUAGUCAAGCCAGUAAGAGGCGCUUGAGACUAGGAUUUCCGAAUGGGGGAACCCACCUGCUUGCAGGUAUCGUUAACUGAAUACAUAGGUUAACGAGGCGAACGCGGAGAACUGAAACAUCUAAGUACCCGUAGGAAAAGAAAUCAACCGAGAUUCCGAAAGUAGCGGCGAGCGAAAUCGGACCAGCCCUUAAGCUUUAGUGUAGUUAGUGGAAGAUGUUGGAAAGCAUGACGAAACAGGGUGAUAGUCCCGUACACAAAAACUUAUCUAAAGUGAAAUCGAGUAGGUCGGAGCACGUGAAACUUUGACUGAAUAUGGGGGGACCAUCCUCCAAGGCUAAAUACUCCCAACUGACCGAUAGUGAACCAGUACCGUGAGGGAAAGGCGAAAAGAACCCCUGUGAGGGGAGUGAAAUAGAACCUGAAACCGUGUACGUACAAGCAGUAGGAGCCUACUUGUUGGGUGACUGCGUACCUUUUGUAUAAUGGGUCAGCGACUUAUAUUCUGUAGCGAGGUUAACCAUUUAGGGGAGCCGUAGCGAAAGCGAGUCUUAACUGGGCGCUUAAGUUGCAGGGUAUAGACCCGAAACCCGGUGAUCUAGCCAUGGGCAGGUUGAAGGUUGAGUAACAUCAACUGGAGGACCGAACCCACUAACGUUGAAAAGUUAGGGGAUGACCUGUGGCUAGGAGUGAAAGGCUAAUCAAACCGGGAGAUAGCUGGUUCUCCCCGAAAUCUAUUUAGGUAGAGCCUCGGACGAAUACUUACGGGGGUAGAGCACUGUUAAGGCUAGGGGGUCAUCCCGACUUACCAACCCUUUGCAAACUCCGAAUACCGUAAAGUAAUAUCCGGGAGACACACGGCGGGUGCUAACGUCCGUCGUGGAGAGGGAAACAACCCAGACCGUCAGCUAAGGUCCCAAAGUGUAUGUUAAGUGGGAAACGAUGUGGGAAGGCUAAAACAGCUAGGAGGUUGGCUUAGAAGCAGCCACCCUUUAAAGAAAGCGUAAUAGCUCACUAGUCGAGUCGGCCUGCGCGGAAGAUGUAACGGGGCUAAACAUACCACCGAAGCUACGGCUGCGAACUUAGUUCGCGGGGUAGGGGAGCGUUCUGUAAGUGGCUGAAGGUGUGCCGGGAGGCAUGCUGGACAUAUCAGAAGUGCGAAUGCUGACAUGAGUAACGACAAGAGGAGUGAAAAACUCCUCCGCCGGAAGACCAAGGGUUCCUAUCCCAUGUUAAUCAGGGUAGGGUGAGUCGACCCCUAAGGCGAGGCUGAAGAGCGUAGUCGAUGGGAAACGGGUUAAUAUUCCCGUACUCGGUAUGAAUGCGAUGGGGGGACGGAGCAGGCUAGGCAAGCAUGGCGUUGGUUGUCCAUGUGAAAGGCUGUAGGCUGGUGACUUAGGAAAAUCCGGGUUGCCAAGGCUGAGAGUCGAGACGAGCCACUAAGGUGGUGAAGUUGUUGAUGCCCUACUUCCAGGAAAAGCCUCUAAGCUUCAGUUCAUACUGAAUCGUACCCUAAACCGACACAGGUGGUCAGGUAGAGAAUACUAAGGCGCUUGAGAGAACUCGGGUGAAGGAACUAGGCAAAAUUGUACCGUAACUUCGGGAGAAGGUACGCUCUUGUUUGUGAAGGACUUGCUCUGUAAGCAAACGAGAGCCGCAGUGACCAGGUGGCUGGGACUGUUUAUUAAAAACACAGCACUGUGCAAAAUCGUAAGAUGACGUAUACGGUGUGACACCUGCCCGGUGCCGGAAGGUUAAUUGAUGGGGUUAGCUUAGGCGAAGCUCUUGAUCGAAGCCCCGGUAAACGGCGGCCGUAACUAUAACGGUCCUAAGGUAGCGAAAUUCCUUGUCGGGUAAGUUCCGACCUGCACGAAUGGUGUAACCAUGGCCACGCUGUCUCCACCCGAGACUCAGUGAAAUUGAAAUCGCAGUGAAGAUGCUGUGUACCCGCGGCUAGACGGAAAGACCCCGUGAACCUUUACUACAGCUUGGCACUGAACAUUGACCCUACAUGUGUAGGAUAGGUGGGAGGCUUUGAAGCAGAGACGCUAGUUUCUGUGGAGCCGACCUUGAAAUACCACCCUUGUAGUGUUGAUGUUCUAACUUAGGCCCCUGAAUCGGGGUUGAGGACAGUGCCUGGUGGGUAGUUUGACUGGGGCGGUCUCCUCCCAAAGAGUAACGGAGGAGCACGAAGGUUUGCUAAGUACGGUCGGACAUCGUACGGUUAGUGUAAUGGUAGAAGCAAGCUUAACUGCGAGACAGACACGUCGAGCAGGUACGAAAGUAGGUCAUAGUGAUCCGGUGGUUCUGAAUGGAAGGGCCAUCGCUCAACGGAUAAAAGGUACUCCGGGGAUAACAGGCUGAUACCGCCCAAGAGUUCAUAUCGACGGCGGUGUUUGGCACCUCGAUGUCGGCUCAUCACAUCCUGGGGCUGAAGUCGGUCCCAAGGGUAUGGCUGUUCGCCAUUUAAAGUGGUACGCGAGCUGGGUUUAGAACGUCGUGAGACAGUUCGGUCCCUAUCUGCCGUGGGCGUUUGAGAAUUGAGAGGGGCUGCUCCUAGUACGAGAGGACCGGAGUGGACGAACCGCUGGUGUUCGGGUUGUGAUGCCAAUUGCAUUGCCCGGUAGCUACGUUCGGAACUGAUAACCGCUGAAAGCAUCUAAGCGGGAAGCAGGCCUCGAGAUGAGUUCUCACUUUGACUUAGAGUCAACUGAAGGGCCGUUGAAGACUACAACGUUGAUAGGCGAGAUGUGGAAGUGCUGUGAGGCAUUAAGCUAACUCGUACUAAUUACCCGUGAGGCUUAACCAU